GGACUACCCGGGUUUCUAAUCCCGUUUGCUCCCCUAGCUUUCGCGCCUCAGCGUCAGAAGAGGUCCAGCACGUCGCUUUCGCCACCGGCGUUCCUUCUGAUAUCAACGCAUUUCACCGCUCCACCAGAAGUUCCACAUGCCCCUACCUCCCUCGAGCUUAUCAGUAUCAAGGGCACUUUUCCGGUUAAGCCGAAAGAUUUCACCCCUGACUUGAUAAGCCGCCUACGCGCCCUUUAAGCCCAGUGAUUCCGAACAACGUUCGCUCGGUUCGUCUUACCGCGGCUGCUGGCAC
rnacentral:rRNA from 1 species